GUCAGAUGUGAAAGACCCGGGGCGUCAACCUCGGAAUAGCAUUUGAAACUGGCAGACUAGAGUACUGUAGAGGGGGGUAGGAAUUUCAGGUGUAGCGGUGAAAUGCGUAGAGAUCUGAAGGAAUACCGGUGGCGAAGGCGGCCCCCUCGGACAGAUACUGACACUCAGAUGCGAAAGCGUGGGGAGCAAACAGGAUUAGAUACCCUGGUAG
rnacentral:rRNA from 1 species